GCCGGGUGCACAUGUGCGUGUUCUCCGUGACAGUCUUGAAGUUGUGAGUAAUUAGAUUGUUUUUCGCUACGUUUAGGUUGCACUACCUCGUUGUUUUCGUGUACUUUUGUGCUCAUCGACGCGAAGGGAGCAUCCGGACUGAAGGCGACGCGAUUAUGCGUGAGAAAGGCAGUAGCGGCCUACGACAUCGGUGUUUCUUUGUGACAGUGUGUUUACUAUGCCUACGACGGCCGUCAUUCGUGGCCAACAAGAAACAUCAUCCAUUCGGUCUGAACGGUGAUGAAGUGGAGUUCUUUUUUCGGCGGAAUCCAUUGUCAACAUCGUCCAUCCACUACGUAAACGAAAUGGCGUGCCCAGAGUACUCAUCGUGACAGCGCUCCACCUUCAAACCGAGGGCCUUUUGCAAAACGCAUGGACUGCUCAUAUAAAGGUUAGUCAGCAUGAAGAAAUUGCAUGGGAACCGGCUGAUUGUCUUGGGCCUACACAUUGCUCAAAAGACAGGGAAGAUGUCUGAGCCAACAGGUAGAAAACAAGCAGAUGGCUACAGCGAUCAAUGAAGAAAUGGCUUCAUCUAUGAUGGCUCGCCUUAGGACAUUGGAAUGGAGCUACACAAAAGCAUCACCAGUCUCGCCUGUGCCCUGGAACAUUGAUUUGAAUAAGACUGUUCUUCAGUGUAGAACGACCACAAGACUUGUCACCACAUACAAGGCAUAGUGCAAGCUAUAAAUAUUGUACAGGUGGCUAGAAUAAAUGACCCUCCAUGCAGUCACUCUUCCUGUAUCUGUGGUAAAUGGGACCAUUUCACGCAGAACACUCACACGUGAUUAUGUGUUUUCUCUCAAAGUUGCUAUGCCAUGCA